rnacentral:lncRNA from 1 species
UAAAAACCGUUAGCAUCCUCGAAAAUGGCUAUUGAAAUUAAUGAAUGAGGAUGAGAUCUAACAGGAACUUAUUCGAAAGAAAUACUCAGAAACCAAGUCUCUCGCUCUAGUUCGAUAGAAACCUAGCCUUCGGGUCGCUUCAGGAGACUUUGGAGGCUUUCCCACCACCAGAAAAACUCUCUCCACUGCCGUCGCAUCCACCUGCCAGUCGGAGGAGGCCACCGGGACUAACAGUGGCGACGCGGCUCUCCAUGCCCACUUUCCCACUCAACCACCUACCCAUAUUUCUUCCUGGUUGGUAUCCCCGCCCAUCUGCAUGCGGUGCUGCAUCCCUGUUGUCGG